GAUGAACGCUAGCGGCAGGCUUAACACAUGCAAGUCGAGGGGCAGCAUAAUGGAUAGCAAUAUCUAUGGUGGCGACCGGCGCACGGGUGCGUAACGCGUAUGCAACCUACCUUUAACAGGGGGAUAACACUGAGAAAUUGGUACUAAUACCCCAUAAUAUCAUAGAAGGCAUCUUUUAUGGUUGAAAAUUCCGAUGGUUAGAGAUGGGCAUGCGUUGUAUUAGCUAGUUGGUGGGGUAACGGCUCACCAAGGCGACGAUACAUAGGGGGACUGAGAGGAAGGUCCCCCACAUUGGAACUGAGACACGGUCCAAACUCCUACGGGAGGCAGCAGUGAGGAAUAUUGGCAAUGGGCGAGAGCCUGAACCAGCCAAGUAGCGUGAAGGAUGACUGCCCUAUGGGUUGUAAACUCCUUUUACCUGGGAAUAACGGGGCGCUACGCGUAGCGCUGUG
rnacentral:rRNA from 1 species